GAUGCAGCAGUGAUGAUCGAGCAGUGGGAGGGAGAGGUUGUGUGUGUCCGUCCAGAAAUGGUGAUGUGAUCUGAGUGCUUUCACAAUACAGUGCCUGGUGAUAGUGGUGUGUUAUUGUGAUUAUAUGAGCCACUGUGGUGUGUUGUGAGUGGCAAUAGUGAACGCUUUGGAUGUACAAGUGCUUAACGACCCAAUCACCAUUACCUUCAUCUUUGCUAUGAACAUGAGAGGCUGCGGGCGUCCGUGAUGGUGGGCGUGCCUGGCGGAGCAGCUGGUGGAGGCGUGGGUGUGGGAGUGGGUGUGGGCGGGGAGGGCGUGGGCGGGGGCGAGGGAGAGGCGCUGCGGAGGGCGGCGGCGGAAGGAAACACUGGGAAGCUUCUGGCGCUGCUGGAGGAGGGCGCGUCUGUCAACAAGAGUGACGAGUGUGGAAGAACGCCCCUGCACUGGGCUUGCUCGCGCCGCCAAGCCAAUGCGGUCGCCAGCCUUCUACUCAACGGUGCCAAGGUCAACUCAGCGGACAGUGUAAGUACCUGGAGAGAAAAUUGGUUGGUUGAAGAUGUUAGUGGUCGUACAAGGAGGUCAUUUGGUGUCUGCAGAAAAUGGAGAGUGAGGAGAUGGAAGGAAAGAAAAUGGAGAGUGAAACAUAUUAAGGUAUUGAUAUGGAAGGCAAAUUAAUUGAUUGCUGAUUUGGGCACUACGAAAAUGGGUGUAAUUUGGUGUCCGGAGAAAAUGGAAAGUAAGGAGAUGGAUGGAAAGGAAAAUGAUGGAGGGUGAAAAGUGGUAAGGGAGAGAGAUGGAAGGAAAUGUGAGAAGUAGGCGUUGAGAGAAAGGAGAAAAGAAAAUGAGAAGAGUGAAGGGAAGAAAUACGAGAAGGGAAUCACGUAAGAGGUAAAAAAAAAUUAAGCUCUUAUUUGCUCUUCCUUUGUGUUCUUUUUUUUUUUACCGGAUGAGAAUGGAAGGAAAAAGAAAAAUAGGAAAGAACAGAAAGAUAGAGAAGAACAGAUAAAUAUAAGCAAGAGAGGAAGAGAGGAUGAUAACCAUAAAAGGCAGG